ensembl:lncRNA
UUUUUUUUUUGUUUUUGUUUUUUGCCUGUCUCAAAAAAACCAGAGUAUAAGAAUUAUAUACCUGAGUAGCCCAAAAUAAAAGAGGCCUUGUGGAACAACCUGAAACACAGCUGCAAAUUCUGGCAGGGCCUCCCCUGGCUUGAUUUGUGGUGAGUGCAGGACCGCUCUGAAGGAUAGGACCCCAGGCUCAUUCCGAGACUAGACCUUACAGUACAACUUCCCUUCGCUGGAAGGAACACUGGCCUUGGAUCCUCGGACACCCUGGGGCAGUGCCACCAUCCCGAGGCCGCCAUGGCACAAGCAGGCCCUACUAUCAGGAAGCCUGGGACAUCCUGGGGCAGUGCCACCAACCCGAGGCCACUGUGACACAAGGGGGCCCUGGUGCCACUGAGAGGCUGCACAGCAGGUCCAAGCCCAGGCCAGGACUGAAGAGGCUCCACAUCCUUUCCAUCCCUCCAGCUGAGUCCACAGAUGUCUUGGAGCAGAAAUGCAUCACCCUCAAUGUCCACGGGUAAGUUUUUGGACACAGAAUCUGGAAGCAUAAAAGAUGGUUCUGGGCUGGUUGGUUGCCGGCUCGGAUCUGUCCUCUUUCCACACAAAACCUGGCUCACACCAAGCAGCGUCUAAGUCCUGGAAGACUUGCUAAACACAAGUGCAGUUACAAAGCGGAGAAACUGGAGGGGGCUGGGCUGGGCUGUGCUCCAGUGGCACCAGCGUUUCUCAGGAAGACCCCGGGCAUUACAGGGUCCAGGGCAAGGGCUUCCUGGGAUCCAGGACAUGGAACAAGAACCCAUUUCCCGGUCCUGUUGAAUAUGAAUCGGCUAAGGGCCGAUUCCCUCGGAGGACUGAGCACCGCCCCACAACACCUUGGUAUGGGUAUGUUAUUACAUACGUUGGUAUGGGUAUGUUAUUACAUACGUUGGUAUGGGUAUGUUAUUACCCAUACCAAGGUAAUAACAAGCCCGUUACCAGCAGGAGGCUGGUGAUGAAGACAUGAGGACCAGAUGAGCACGAGGGAUCCUGACAGAUCAUCCCUGGCACCGAGCAAGGGGCGGACAGUACCCCCUGUUCCUGAUGCAUCAGCCCUGGCACUGAGCGAGGGGUGGCAGCACGGCCUGUGCCCCUGCAGAUGCAGAGGGAUGUGAGGGGGGUGCAGGCUGGGCUUGGAGGCUAACUCAACCACCUGCGCUUGCACUUCCGUUCCUCAUGGCAGGGAGGUGAGGCACAGGCAGCAUUAGGGCUCACCUUGCCCCCGGGCUGCACUUUUUUCUGCUUAUGAGUCGUGCUCGCUUUACAUGGACAGACAUAGCUAUAAUAACGGUUCCCUGAUUAUUUCGCUGCCUACAUAAAGGGCUUUCAGAAUUCACUUCCAUCCUUAGGAAAGGGGGCCAACACCAGGCUGUCUCCCUUAAGAUGCCAUGUCUCAUAUGGGGAAAAAAAAUCAAGAGAAAUCAAAUAAAGGCCAUAAAAUACAUCAGUUUCAACACUAAAAUUUAAUAGUACGCUUUAAAUUGAAGAUGAGUUAAGUCACAUUUCCAAACCUCUGAAAGCACGGUUACUGGGAGGGAAUGGUUUGCAACACACAAACGCAGCUCUGUAGAAGUGCCCAGGCUGGAUGAAGGCUCAAACGUCAGUGCGAGGAGAAAGUCUGAACAAACUCUCUCCUGCCCUGCUGCUGUCCUCUUCCAAAACACACUGUUUAUCUGUCAGUUUAGAACAAGGCCUAGGGAGGUGGGAGGCAGGCCUGGGAGGGUCACCUAGCAUCCAAGCUCCUCACCCACACAACUGCACCAGGCUGAGCUGAGCAGUACACACAAACACGACUAAUUCUCCCCAAAAAGAAGACGGAAGGCAGCACACUGCCAUGCCAGGCACCCUGCAGAUGAGAAGAUUGAGGGGAGCCAGAGGUACCUUUAAUCUUGCUUGCAUGGUGGAGGGAGAGGAAUAAUGCCACUCACUUGAGUGUUGCACAAUUCUUUCUAGCACUGAGUGGCAGAAAACAAAAAUUAUAGAUGCUUCCUCAGAU